GUUCAAGGUAGCACUCACGAAGAGAAUAGAAGAAAUAAUGGGUUACUUCACUACACUCACAAAAAGGAAGAAGAUAACCCGCACAUGACUGCCCUAUAUAAUCGCACAAAUCACUCUGGCUUACAAAUAUAAAGGAGAAAAUUGCUGACACUAUUUGUUCUUACUACCACACUCUCUCACACCAUUUGUAGAGCAAAAGGAGUACUUCAUAGAUCGUAACCCACUAUGCAUGCAAAUACAUUACACAAAGUAAUAAGGUUACUCCAAUUCAUGCAGUUACGCAUACAAAUAAAUUGAAAGUAUAACAUAUCAACACAACAGAAUUAAGUGAUCAGGUACAUACAAAAAGGAUUACAUACAAAUGUACAUGCACUAACCAAGUUUAUUGUCAAUAAAUCUCACUAGGGUCAUCGCUCGACCCUAAAGCCACAUUUGCCUCACGCCUCUCCUUAUCUUUCCUUUUAUUAUCAUUCAUAGAACAGUCCAUUUUACCAUGUCCAAAGUUUACUGCAGUUAAAACAUAUCUUACUUUUCGUACUUGCAUUAGACCUACAUUUGCCAUCAAAAGUUUUAUAAAAACAUUUCGUUAUGGCAAAAAUUGAAAAAUCACAAAUUUUCCGUUAAAAACAUGACUCAAAAUGUAUUGUCAUUUACAAAAAAAAAAAAAAAAAAAAAAAUACACAAAGCACAAAAUGCAACCAACACAAGAAAAGUGAGACAUAAUUCACAUCACAAAGAAUUUAAGGCAAAUAAUUAUCAAGUAAUUCCUAUGUCUUGCAAUAUGCAAUGUUUACCUCUUUCAUGAUAACCUCAAACCUAAUAUCACCCAACACGAUGACUUCUAAAGCAAAAAGUAAAUUGUUACCCUACAUGUUAACCAUAACUUCAAUAAUAAAAAGGAAAGAACAUGAUACUGAGCGGACCACGUUUGAAAAUUCCUAUAUAUGAGAGAUGCGAAUUCACCACUUUAGAGCUACUAUCCGCCUAAAGCUUAAGUCAAAUGAAACAACGUAAAAUGGCACCCGAGCGUCAAAGGGCAAAGUCAUUCGAUCUUCACUGUAUCGCUCGAAAUUGAAAACGGAUACAACUACAGGG
rnacentral:lncRNA from 1 species